rnacentral:rRNA from 1 species
AUUGUAGUCUGCAACCCGACUACAUGAAGCUGGAAUCGCUAGUAAUCGCGGAUCAGAAUGCCGCGGUGAAUACGUUCCCGGGUCCUGUACACACCGCCCGUCACACCAUGGGAGUCGGAAAUGCCCGAAGUCUGUGACCCAACCGCGAGGAGGGAGCAGCCGAAGGCAGGUCGGAUGACUGGGGUGAAGUCGUAACAAGGUAUC